UGGAUAAUAGUUAAUUAAACAUUUAAUUUGCAUUUAAAAAAUAUUAUAUAAUAAUUUAUCUAA
rnacentral:tRNA from 1 species